rnacentral:misc_RNA from 1 species
GAAACGCGAUAGGUAAUGUGAAUUGCAGAAUUCCGUGAAUCAUCGAAUCUUUGAACGCACCUUGCGCUCCAUGGUAUUCCGUGGAGCAUGCCUGUUUGAGUGCCGCGAAUUCUCCCUCCCCUUACGGUGGCCGAAAGGCCGAAGUAGGGCGGACGGGGUAGGAUGGGUGUUGCUGCCUGGGGAUUGUACCAGGCUCGCCCGAAAUGCAUAAGCGCCAGGACCCUCGCUACCGCUCUCUAGGGAAGAGUGGCUAAGCGACCGCUGAGCAUGGCAUGAUACGUCAUUUGCUGUGUGUGGGCGGCCGGUUGGAGAGGUGUCUGCUUUACCAGCCCUUUUUUAAUUCUGGUCUCAAAUCAGGUAGGAUCACCCGCUGAACUUAA